rnacentral:rRNA from 1 species
AAGCUCGUAGUGAAUUUCGGGAUUGACACAUCGGUCGUGCCUUAAGGGGUAUGAACUGGUGUAGUCAAUUUCUCACCUUCUGGAGAACCACGAUGCCCUUAAUUGGGUGUCGCGGGGAACCAGGACCUUUACUUUGAAAAAAUUAGAGUGUUUAAAGCAGGCAUUUUGCUUGAAUACAUUAGCAUGGAAUAAUAAAAUAGGACGGCAUGAUUCUAUUUUGUUGGUUUCUAGGAUCACCGUAAUGAUUAAUAGGGAUAGUUGGG